GCCGCCUUAGCUCAGCCCGGUUAGAGCACUCGGCUGUUAACCGAGGGGUCGCCGGUUCAAAUCCGGCAGGCGGCG
rnacentral:tRNA from 2 species